rnacentral:rRNA from 1 species
GCGUAUGCAACUUGCCCUACUGAAAAGGAUAGCCCUUCGAAAGGAGGAUUAAUACUUUAUAAUAGAUAUCAUGGCAUCAUGAAUUUUUGAAAGAUUUAUCGCAGUAGGAUAGGCAUGCGUAAGAUUAGUUAGUUGGUGAGGUAACGGCUCACCAAGACGAUGAUCUUUAGGGGGCCUGAGAGGGUGAACCCCCACACUGGUACUGAGACACGGACCAGACUCCUACGGGAGGCAGCAGUGAGGAAUAUUGGACAAUGGGUGGAAGCCUGAUCCAGCCAUCCCGCGUGUAGGAUGACGGCCUUAUGGGUUGUAAACUACUUUUAUCUGGGGAUAAACCUACUUACGUGUAAGUAGCUGAAGGUACCAGAAGAAUAAGCACCGGCUAACUCCGUGCCAGCAGCCGCGGUAAUACGGAGGGUGCAAGCGUUAUCCGGAUUUAUUGGGUUUAAAGGGUCCGUAGGCGGAUUAAUCAGUCAGUGGUGAAAUCUCAUAGCUUAACUAUGAAACUGCCAUUGAUACUGUUAGUCUUGAGUGAUGUUGAAGUUGCUGGAAUGUGUAGUGUAGCGGUGAAAUGCUUAGAUAUUACGCAGAACACCAAUUGCGAAGGCAGGUGACUAAACAUCAACUGACGC